GCCUAGAGUCGAUGCUGCCCGAGAGGAGAGCCAGAUGGAGAAAGGAAAUUGAUUGGCUUCUAUUAGUGACAAAUUAUGUUGUUGAGAUGGUCCUACUAAACAAAAAUCAAAAGAUGGAUCCAGCAUGGAGAUUAUGACAACGCGACAACGAACAGAUCUCCAUAUGAAUAUCCCUGCCUUAAGAAACCUUGACAACAUGCUUAUUGAUUGUCCAGAUAACUUCAAAGACCAGAAUGAGUUCUACUAUGUAUCACAAGAUGCAGAUGAUGCAGAUAAAGAUAGUUCAAAGAGAAAAAAUGAUGACAAGUGGUCCUACACCUAAGGUUCCUGCAGAGGGUUCAUCUGAUGUGGUGAUGGCCAUAAAUGCACAGACCCUAUCGGAGAUGGAGAUCCCUGAAAGCUAUAUUGAAUCCCUACCCAAGAAUGGUGCGUUAAUUAUGACCAGAAAGACAAGAGCCAAAAAAGUUUUUCUUCAAUGACUUGUAGAGGAGUGAUUCAUAUGUGAUUUGAUUACAGAAUGGUGCGUUAAUUAUGACCAGAUAGACAAGAACCAAAAAAGUGUUUCUUCAAUGACUUGUAAUCGGAAAACUUUCAAGGAGUUUUCUGAAUUCUGAAGUGUUUGAGUUUCACAUGAUCAUGUUUAAUCUG